rnacentral:antisense_RNA from 1 species
CUUGAUCGAGCCCAGCCACAAGGGUUCCGCGCGGUCCUGACCGUACGUGGCGAGCAGCGCCUGCGCCUC